CGGUUCAGCUGCAUUGGUGGUG
rnacentral:miRNA from 1 species